UUCCAAUUUUAGGAAAAAGCUUUAACAAAUUCCUUAAUACUUAAUAAAUUUAACAUAGCUUGAGCUUCAUACACUAUAAAGUGAAGAAUCAUAUUCUAUUUGUUAUAUGUCAAGAGAAAAAACAUGGCCAAAACUACGAAGCUUAUUUAUGUUAUGAUUUUAUUUCUUUCCUUAUUUCUUGUUGCAAAGAAUGUUACUGCACAGAUUAGAUGUAAUGAUGCCUUUGAGUGUCGAAGAAGUGCUAUAUGCAAUUUUCCUAAUAAGUGGAAGUGCAAUGAUCAUAAAUGUGAGUGUGUAUAAAUGAUCUCACUCAUUUUAUGAAUACCAAACCCAAGAGAGCCAAGGAAGAAUGAGUUAUUUCACUAUCAAUAAAUCCAUUCAAUACAUCUUAUGCUUGAAUAUUCCAUGAGUUGCUUUUUUCGUUAUUGUGUUGACACUAGAUAAUUUUAUUUUAUUUAUUUUCUUUUUGUAUUUUCAUAGACUUUGAAAUUAUGGAUUUGUACUCUAAGAUGUUUGUAAUGCAA